AUAAAAUAAAAAGGCUUGACCUUUGCUUCAAAGCCGUCGCUUUUGAGACUUGAGCCUGCUAUUUCUGCUUCAGUUUCAGCAAAAGCUCUUGUAUUUUCGCUCUCUUCAUUCUUCAGGAUUCAUACACAGGCCCAAUGUCACUCACCCAACAUCUCUCCACCUCUAUCUCAUUUUCUUCCUCUUCUUUUUUAUCUUCUUCAGGCUUUACCUUUAGGAACCGGGAUGUGUCGCUUCCCUCGGAAAAUUUUGGGAUUUGUAGGUGUGUAGCAACCCCUCAGGAAGAGAAGACUACCUACAAGACAAAGGUUUCUCGCAACGCAAACAUGGCCAAGCUUCAAGCUGGGUACCUGUUUCCAGAGAUCGCUCGGAAGAGGAAUGCCCACUUGCAGAAAUACCCUGAUUCAAAAGUGAUAAGCCUCGGG
rnacentral:misc_RNA from 1 species